UCUAUUCUGCGCUUGUACUUCUGCCGACCUCCACGUACUCUGUCAAGACGCACUCCUGUGGGGAAAGACAGGCACUUCCUUACUGUUGAGAAUCUCCAAUGAAAGCUACCUCUUUGUGACAAAUCUAUUACAAAUGGGUGUUUGUAAUGUGUAGAACAUCAGAUGUUCAAACAAGCUGUGCUUUUUCAUCUAUUACAUGUACUUGAUAGCACCAUCUACUCUGCUACCUAGAAGUUUCAGGGAACCUUUGAUGGCGUCUACCUGGGAGACUGCGCUUCGUCCUUGACACAGCUUCUGCUGCAGAGUCCUGACCUCCAGGUUCCAAAAUGAUCCUAAAGAUGCUGCCGUCUCCCAAACCAGAAUUCCAGUUGUUGGCAGGAUUCACCAUUGAGUUUAGAAAACUACAGGCUUACAGAUCCCCAUCAACCAACUUUAUCCUUGCCUAAUUUACCCAUCUCUGUAGUUUUAAUGCCUGUCAUCACUCUAUUGUUACCCAGAUGAGGAAAGGGAGAAUAUGAGCCUCAAGACCUACAGACCUUGUCUAUUAAAGCCAGGGUCUCAAGCCAGUCUGAACACAUAAGAAGAGCCAUGGAUUUACUUUCUACAGCCAGGAAAAGGCAUUUCACCCCCGAAAAGGGAUCCAGCGUCUAUGGCCAGCAGCUCUACUGUGUCAGGAGUUACUAGAGGGUCGCUGCAGUGGAUGAUCACAGAAGAAAGUCUACAGUAAGUCCCCUACACACGAACCUUCAAGUUGCGAACUUUCAAAGAUGUGAACGUGCAUUCGCAUGUCUAAUCACGUAUGGCGUGAGUGAAACUGCAGCUUGCCCUCUGUCUCCUAUCGUUGACGAUCCUUCAGCUCUACCAUCUCCCACCUUCUCUCCCUCCUCCAGUCAGUAACUCUUCUUGCCUGUUCACUCGAUGCCAGCCCCUAUAUGCCAGCUGUUGUAUCAAUACUGUGUUAUUGUACUUUUCAAGGUACUGUACUGUACUGUAAGAUUAAAAAUGUUUUCUUUA